rnacentral:rRNA from 1 species
UACAUGUGGGGCAAGCGUUGUUCGGAAUUACUGGGCAUAAAGGGUGCGUAGGCGGUUUGUUAAGUCACUGGUGAAAGUUUUCGGCCCAACCGGAAAGUUGCCUGUGAUACUGGCGAACUUGAGUGCGUGAGGGGUGGGGGAACGGAGCAGUGGUAGCGGUGAAAUGCCGUAGAGUAUCGAGAGGAACACCUGCGGCGAAGGCGGGUUGCGUGGGCU